rnacentral:rRNA from 1 species
UAAUGGCCUACCAAGGCGACGAUCCAUAGCUGGUCUGAGAGGAUGAUCAGCCACACCGGAACUGAGACACGGUCCGGACUCCUACGGGAGGCAGCAGUCGGGAAUAUUGGACAAUGGGGGCAACCCUGAUCCAGCCAUGCCGCGUGUGUGAAGAAGGCUUUCGGGUUGUAAAGCACUUUCAGUGAGGAGGAAAAC